CAGACUCUCACAUCAUUUUAUGAAUGCAGAGAGCCAAGAAGAGCGGAUGUUGAGUGGUUGCCAGAGUGAAAUGAGCGAGCCCUGCUGCCAGCUUCCCACCAAAAACUGAAUAAAAUUGAAGGCUCAGAAGACUGUCAUCACCAAAGCAGGGAGAGAUGUAAGAGCUAGACCUUGGGGAGGACCAGAGCAAGACAGUGUCUUCUGAACCCAACGCAGCCAUACCUGACAGUACUCAUACCUCACAGCAGCUGUGGUUGCUUGCACAAGACCUGCGCAUAAUUAAGUCAGUCCAUAUGCUGGUAUGGAGGUAUGGAGUAGGGAGGCUCUGGGUACCUGGAUGUGGACAGACUGGAGAUGGUGGUACACUUGCUGGCAGGCUUGCUGUGACUAUGGGCUGGCUGG